CUACUUUGUAUUCUCUUUUACAGGUGGGCAUCCCUGGAAUUUUUAAAAGGUUGACACCAGUAUUUGAGCUAUGGAAUCAGACCUUUUUUUUGGAUCCCCUAUGCAGUUUUUAAAAAGGAGGCUUAUGUGAAAGGGUUGGGAUGCCUGAAUAUUUGAAUAGACAAGACUCAUCGAAGAGAGCUGCUGUUCCUCCCAUUCUAUGGACAAGGGAAAGAGGCCUAGCAGUGCAGAGUGCUGCUGAUGUUCUGCAUUUGGGAAGAGUUGGGACAUGAUGAGAAUAACAUCAGCUUUUUUUCUCUCUUCUUUUUCCUCAAACUCAUUUGUUUUUGUCAUUUUUUUUAUUUUGCAGGACAGUUUUGAUAGACUUAAUACCCAGAGGGCAGGUUUAAUUACCAAAUGGGGCUUUAUAUCUUUGGGAAAUUCUCAGGUACUUGGCUCAUGAAUUUUUAAAAUCUUCAUUUCCCCCCAGAGUUAUACAGUUAAAUGAGCCAGGUGUUUUGUCAGGGAUGGUUAAAAUAGAAAGCACUGCUCAGCCCCUACCUUCAUUGCCUUUUCUCACUAAACCCUUUCAACUCUUAGCCGUUGAGUAUUUAUCCCUAGUUUUUCAAGGAACACAUUUGAAUUGCUGUUACUUGAAUUUUCAGUCUAGGAUAUAACUUUUUGCCUGGUCGUCUUUAUCCUUAUCAGUAACUUCACUCAAAAUUUUCUGUCAGUUGUCCAAUUUUCCUGUACAGUGAUAUCUCAGUUCAUGAAUUUAAUUUGUUCUACGAUUUUGGAAAAGAUAGCCAUGUUUGUGUUUGUGCAGGAAAGAUGGCUGCAGUCAUGUUUGUCACCUGAUGUACAGUUUGCAAACAAAAACAAGAUUUUGCCAAAUGCUUCUGUUUGUGAACCAAAUUAUUUGCAUACGAAAGUGUUCAUGAAGGGAGGCACCACAUAUUCUUUUUUUUUUUUGUACUGGAAAUCAAACUCAGGG
rnacentral:lncRNA from 1 species